CUGCUCGCUUCAGCAGCAAAUAUACUAAAAUUGCAAUGAUAGAGAGAAAAUUAGCACAGCCGCUGCACAAGGAUGACAUGCAUAUUCAUGAAGCAUUCCAUAUUUUU
rnacentral:snRNA from 1 species